rnacentral:lncRNA from 1 species
UACAAUCGAUUAAGUAAAAUCACUUAGCACAUUUUUUGAAAACUUUUCUUCUCAAAAUAUCUCACAGCACAUUUGAAAAGUAUUUGUACAAACCCACGAGUUUUAAUCGAUUUGAACCACAAUGUAAUCCACUUAAAACUGUUGUUUUGCCACACUUUAAAGUUCAACCAUAGUGCUUGUGGAUUUUCAUUUCUAAAAAUAUAUAUGGGUUUGCUAAUUUACGCAAGAGAUUAUUUUAGUUGGUACAUUUUAGCAAAGUGUACCAAUUUUAGGUUACAAAAAAGACCCUAUUAAAAAAGAACAAACAUUAAAUUCAAGAAUAUAUUAAUAAUUUUAAAA